ensembl:miRNA gga-mir-1463 gga-mir-1463
GAACUUGAGUGCACAGUCUCAUUAAGAUACUCAGAGAAUGAAUGAAAUGAAAGAAAUUUCUACUUCGUUCUAUGAUGCUUUGCUGAGAAUUGAGAAUGGCAGUUAAGUCU